rnacentral:lncRNA from 1 species
UAGGUUAACCGACAGACCGCAAUGCUUCCUUCUUCUUUUCAUUUUUUAGCAACUCUACUCAUCGAGUCUGUUUCAUCUGCGGCUGAUUCGAUUCUCUCUUUCUUUUUUCACUUUCUUUAAUGGAUUAAUUGAUUGUUUUCCGAUUCGUUUAUUAAAGCCACAUACUAUUCACUGCUCCUCCUCACUUGCAUCUGUGAAGUUCGUUUCCACGCGUUUACUUCCAUUUUUUUAACGUAAUCAAAUUUGAUUCGCCAAUUGCUUAUUGUUUUGUCUGAGUUAAAUUUAAUCCUGAAAUACGCUCAGAUCUUGUCGGUUUAACACUCUUCCUUUGCAUUUUUUUUUUAAUUCAGAUUUUUUGUUUUUGUCUCAUGUUAUGAAUUUUAAUCGAUCUUGCUUUUUCAUUGUUUCAUGAUUUAAUUGUGUGCGCGCGCACUUUACCAGGGGUUUCCCAAUGAUGAAUGUUUGUUUGUGUUAAUUAAUUAGCCGGAUUGUGCUUGUGGUUUCUUGGCUUGUUGGAUUUUCGUUGAAAGUCAUCUUUUGAACAUAUACAUAUACGUAUAGAGUCUUUUUCAUCUAGAGAACCCGAUUAUUGAAUUUGUUGUAGAGAUGGUUUCAAUACUCUGGUUGUGGGCUUUUGAAGGUUGUAUUAAAGUUGAAUUUCCUUUCAAGAAUGGCAUUUUUAGUCGUGGUGGGGGACUAGGUUAUUGAUUUGGUUCUGGAACGGCUCGUGCGCAAUGAAGUGGAUUUGAUUGGUUCCUUGUCCAGUUUUUGUGGUUUCUUAUAGAGAUUUUCUUGUAUUUACUGGUAUGUGCUAUUCAUCUAAUGUUCAUGCCGGAUAGCUUUGGUGUAUUUUUCAGUAUGAGCUCUUUCAUUACAGUCCGUUGCAUAUUAAAAUGAAAUUUUGUACCUAUUGUCUAAUUUUUUGUUCCUUCUAAAUCUUUUUCUAUUGCUCUUUUAAAUAGAUCUUGGUUGUGGGAACAUAUUAUAAUUUAUAUUCUUAUCAGAAUUCGUAUUUAGUAAUUUACUAUGCUCAUAGUUUCUUAUGGAAUUUAUGCUUGAUAUGGGGCUCAGAACAUUUUUUGUGGUUAGUUCAUUAAACUUUUUACUAAUUUAUGCUAGUGUUGAAUGAUUCUGCUUCUGCUUGAAAAUAAGGAUGCAUAAUUGCAUGGGAUAAUGUUGAUUAACAUGCAAUCAUAGCUAAUAUAAUUGGGUUCAUCACAGUGUGGUAAUUUCAAAUACUUUUUGCUUUGUUCUUGGACUUUUGUAAUUUCAAAUUCUCGUACCUAAACUUGCACAUUUUGUUUCUUCCCUUUAUCAGAUU